GGUUGCGAUCAUACCAGCACUAAUGCACCGGAUCCCAUCAGAACUCCGCAGUUAAGCGUACUUGGGCGAGAGUUGUACUAGGAUGGGUGACCCCCUGGGAAGUCCUCGUGUUGCAACCCC
rnacentral:rRNA from 1 species